AACGAACGCUGGCGGCAGGCUUAACACAUGCAAGUCGAACGCCCCGCAAGGGGAGUGGCAGACGGGUGAGUAACGCGUGGGAAUCUACCCAGUUCUACGGAAUAACCCAGGGAAACUUGGACUAAUACCGUAUACGCCCUACGGGGGAAAGAUUUAUCGGAAUUGGAUGAGCCCGCGUUGGAUUAGCUAGUUGGUGGGGUAAUGGCCUACCAAGGCGACGAUCCAUAGCUGGUCUGAGAGGAUGAUCAGCCACACUGGGACUGAGACACGGCCCAGACUCCUACGGGAGGCAGCAGUGGGGAAUAUUGGACAAUUGGCGCAAGCCUGAUCCAGCCAUGCCGCGUGAGUGAUGAAGGCCUUAGGGUUGUAAAGCUCUUUCAGUGGGGACGAUAAUGACGGUACCCACAGAAGAAGCCCCGGCUAACUUCGUGCCAGCCGCCGCAGUAACAC
rnacentral:rRNA from 1 species